CUCCGUCGUCUGCCGCUACAGCAAGUGGGUCGAUCAUCUCCAUUUCGUCCCCUCCACCGCCACUGACAACUCCUCCCCACCCCUCCCCAUUGACUUCUACCAACUACCCGACAGUGGACGCCACCGUCGCCUAUUUGGAUAGGUCCUUGUUGCUGAAGUCCAUCUCUUAGCCGAUGGCAUUCGGGACCAGAGACGCUGAAUCAUUUCCCUUUAAUCAGGUUCACAAAAGUUAAUGGAGAAGGCCAAGCCCAUUCCUGGUGCCAAGGUGGAGAACAACAAGUUUUGUGUAUCUGUCCACUUCAGAUGUGUGGAAGAAAAGAUUCUAAAACACUAUCACUGGAGGAUUCCCAUGUCGAAGGCUGUGAUCCAUUAGAUAGGUGCAUCAACGAGGAAGGAUAUGUUUGUUGCUUGCCGGAGUAUCUCAACAAAUUGCUUGAAAAAAUAAUCCAAAAUAAGGUUCAGAGUGGACUGGACAAUCCGGGAGCUGAGGAUUACUCAAAGGAGAAAGCUGUUGACACUUGACAGCGUUCUAGGAACUCAUGUUUGUUUGCUUGUUUCAUCCUCAACCUGUUUGUCUGUUUUCUAAUGCAGGAAAGAAGAAGAGAAUAUGGAAGGAGGAAAAAGUGAAUACCGAGGAAGAAGAGGGAACUUAAACUUGAAGAAUGUGUGUUUUAUAUGAUAUGAUGACUUGUUUAUGGAUAUUUUCUUUGUUAUGGGAUUAUUUAAGUGUGUUUGUUUUGAAUUUGUAUCUUUUGUAAGCUUGAAUUUGUAUGUGUUGUAUAUGACUUGAGAGUAUAUGAUUGUGUUUAACCUUGAAUUAUGUGUAUGCUGAUCAUUAUUAAUAUGAAAUAGAGAGGUUUGAUUUGUAUUA